UACGUAGGGUGCAAUCGUUGUCCGGAAUUAUUGGGCGUAAAGAGCUCGUAGGCGGUUUGUCGCGUCUGCUGUGAAAUCCCGAGGCUCAACCUCGGGCCUGCAGUGGGUACGGGCAGACUAGAGUGCGGUAGGGGAGAUUGGAAUUCCUGGUGUAGCGGUGGAAUGCGCAGAUAUCAGGAGGAACACCGAUGGCGAAGGCAGAUCUCUGGGCCGUAACUGACGCUGAGGAGCGAAAGCGUGGGGAGCAAACAGG
rnacentral:rRNA from 1 species